rnacentral:rRNA from 1 species
GAUGAACGCUGGCGGCGUGCCUAAUACAUGCAAGUCGAGCGAACGGGCGAGAAGCUUGCUUUUCUGAUGUUAGCGGCGGACGGGUGAGUAACACGUGGAUAACCUACCUAUAAGACUGGGAUAACUUCGGGAAACCGGAGCUAAUACCGGAUAAUAUUUUGAACCGCAUGGUUCAAAAGUGAAAGACGGUCUUGCUGUCACUUAUUGAUGGAUCCGCGCUGCAUUAGCUAGUUGGUAAGGUAACGGCUUACCAAGGCAACGAUGCAUAGCCGACCUGAGAGGGUGAUCGGCCACACUGGAACUGAGACACGGUCCAGACUCCUACGGGAGGCAGCAGUAGGGAAUCUUACGCAAUGGGCGAAAGCCUGACGGAGCAAAGCCGCGUGAGUGAUGAAGGUCUUCGGAUCGUAAAACUCUGUUAUUAGGGAAGAACAUAUGUGUAAGUAACUGUGCACAUCUUGACGGUACCUAAUCAGAAAGCCACGGCUAACUACGUG